rnacentral:rRNA from 1 species
GACGUAGGGCGCGAGCGUUGUCCGGAUUUAUUGGGCGUAAAGAGCUCGUAGGCGGCUUGUCGCGUCGGAUGUGAAAACUCGGGGCUCAACCCCGCGCUUGCAUUCGAUACGGGCAGGCUCGAGUUCGGUAGGGGAGACUGGAAUUCCUGGUGUAGCGGUGAAAUGCGCAGAUAUCAGGAGGAACACCGGUGGCGAAGGCGGGUCUCUGGGCAGUAACUGACGCUGAGGAGCGAAAGCGUGGGGAGCGAACAGG